rnacentral:lncRNA from 1 species
CUCGGAAUUUAAGCCCGGCCUUCACCUCCUUUUGCCUGGAGUCUGAACCAAGCUGGCCAGGGCAAAAAUCCUGGAGGUGCCGGAGCCGCUCCAGGGCCGCAUUCUCGAUGCACCGUGCUGGCGAGUUUAAUGGAGACCAUAUGCCGAGUUCCUGGGAAUCAGACCAGAUGGCUCCCGGGGAGUGUAUUUUAGCUCAACCUGCGGCUAAGGGACAAAAGUGAUCAUCAGGGGGCGGGGGAAGGUACAGUGAGAGCGGCGGUGCGACUUUUAAUUACUGUUCUCGUCAACAGAAAUCAUAAAUUGCAAUCUUGAAUGGACCUGGAAGGUCUUGUGCCAGAAUGGAAGUGCUGAGAUCUGUCCCUGCCAGACAGUGGGUGUGGAGAGCGUGGUGGAGGAAAGCCAACCAACUAUGGACUGAAACCUCUACAAACUUGCUAAAGAUGGAACCCUGGACCUCCUGGAUGCUGGUUGAACGCUCUACCACUGAACUAUACCCCCAGCCCUCUUACAUCUUUUAAAGUGAGGCUGAUACAUUGCAUUAUAUGUUUCUUCAAGAAUGAAAUUAUUUGCAAAUGCUUCUUAGUAUGCAAUCCUAGUUAAUAUUCCUUAAAAUGUUGAAAUUUGGAGCAUAAGUACCUUUGCCCUAGGGAAAAGAUUAGGCAGAUAUCUGGAGAUUCAAUUGCCUUUUCUCAUGGAGUUGAAGGGUCUUAGAGUCAUUUAAAUGAGAUCAAAAGAAGAUGGAGAUAAGAAGUGAAGGAGAGGAAGCUGCUUGUGAAUAUACCUGUACUCCCAAUACUUUGGUAGGCUGAGGCAGAAGGACUGCAAGUUUAGUCCAGCCUGGGCAUCUUAGCAUCAGAGAGACUCUGUCUCAAAAAUGAAAUAAUAAAUAAGGGCUGAGGAUAUAGCUCACUGCAAAGGCUCUGAGUUCAAUCUCCAGUACUGAAAAAAAAAAGUGAAGGAGAAGAAAGAAAACUGGACUGCCCAACUCUUUUCAACCUACUUAAUGCCAGUGAGCAGCUGGCUAUGUCCUUGUACCUUCACCUGUUCAAGCAAAAAUGGUGAUUUUACUUAAAACUCUGCUAGCAAUUAUUACUGUUUUGAGACAGGAAAAUAAUGGAACAAAUCGUGAAAGGCUAUUUGUAGAAAACACUUUUAAAUUUUCUUCUCAAAUUAUGCGACAGUCUAUAAAAUGUGGAAUAAAAUAAGGUCUUUUAAAGAUAAAUUACAGUAUAAGUGUCCCUUAUUAUCACUUCCUUGUCCUCUGUAAUAUUUUGAUUACUUUUCUCUCUCCAAAUCAAGUAUGACAUCACUUAAACAAUCAUAAUCUCAAGAAUCAAAAGUAGUGACAAUUUCGGUGAAAAUGUUUCCUUUUGAGUUCAGAUACAAUUGUGGGUUAGUUCAUCAAUCUACUAGAUGUUGAGAAAAUCUGUUAAAAAUAAGUUGGACUUCCUGGGGUGGAGGGCUUAGCAUGUGCUAGGCCUUGGAUUUGAUCCCCGACACUGAAAAUAAUGAGAGUAUAAAUGGGACAGACUAAUUUAAUUGGCAUCACAUGUGUGUAAUCUCUAACAUUUCCUAAGAGCCUCGCAUGCACGCUUCAUUCUCGCAUUUCGUGCACACUUCACUUUCUCACGGACACUUGCUCACCACUGAUUCAUCUUCUGACUUCUAUGUUGGAGAGUUCACACUAAGAACUUUCUUUUUGUAACUGGAUUCCAGUGAACUGCGCUUUUCGGCUCCAGGUUGUCAAAUGUGACAGAAGAUUAAUGAAGAGUCCUGUGACAACUCUGGAUUGCGAGGGCAAUUUAGUGAAAACAGAGGCUAAGUGACCUCAUACUAAAUCAAACCAGCAGGGGGCGCGCAAACCACCUGAUGCUAGGGAGCCUUUGGUGGCUGGCCGCGACCCCGCUGCUCUAAAGUAGCUGAUGAGUCUGACGAGCUGGUAAUAGGUAUUAAUGAAAAGGGUUUCAUGGUUAAGUUAGUUUAGAACAAAUUGUAAUAAACUUUAUUUUUCCUGUUGGGUUUCCCAGAGCUUUCUUUCAAAAGGGCCUAGACUAUGCAGUGUGGUCCUAUACUUGACCACAGAACUCUUUUUUCCAGGUGGGACAUCUCUGGAGACUGCAGUACUAGGAAACAACCAGCAGCUG